AUUGAACGCUGGCGGCAUGCCUUACACAUGCAAGUCGAACGGCAGCACGGGUGCUUGCACCUGGUGGCGAGUGGCGAACGGGUGAGUAAUACAUCGGAACAUGUCCUGUAGUUGGGGAUAGCCCGGCGAAAGCCGGAUUAAUACCGCAUACGAUCUACGGAUGAAAGCGGGGGACCUUCGGGCCUCGCGCUAUAGGGUUGGCCGAUGGCUGAUUAGCUAGUUGGUGGGGUAAAGGCCUACCAAGGCGACGACCAGUAGCUGGUCUGAGAGGACGACCAGCCACACUGGGACUGAGACACGGCCCAGACUCCUACGGGAGGCAGCAGUGGGGAAUUUUGGACAAUGGGCGAAAGCCUGAUCCAGCAAUGCCGCGUGUGUGAAGAAGGCCUUCGGGUUGUAAAGCACUUUUGUCCGGAAAGAAAUCCUUGGCCCUAAUACGGUCGGGGGAUGACGGUACCGGAAGAAUAAGCACCGGCUAACUACGUG
rnacentral:rRNA from 1 species